rnacentral:lncRNA from 1 species
AUCUCCUAGUUCUCUGUUUCAACCUAACUCCACAACCUUCUUUCCUCUUUUCUGCAGAGAGGCAGUGUGGUCUAGGGGCUUCACCCCAUGUCUGGGAACCAGGGACUCCAGCAUUCUAAUGACAGUUUCCUUCCUGCUGCAUGACCUGUCACUUGUUCCAUCCUGCAUUGAGAACCAGCAAAUGAACUUGCGCAGCACUCUACAGUUGCAGGAUUAGUGCCUUAAAUUGUCAAGACCCAGACAAGAAGUUAUUGGCUUGUGCAACAAUUGUUUGUAAAAAUAUAAGUGUAAGAGUAUGUGAAGCAGGAGGACAAGGCAAAGCACAGGAUUGAACUGAUUGCUAGUUUGGUGUUUCGGAUGAAUUUUUUCCUCAGCGCAUACUGCAAAGCAAUGUGGGGAAUGGAUGAGCAUUCACAUCACACUCCCAGUCAGUACCAAGCCCAAGCCGAGGAAGCUAAUGAUCCAACCAGCAAACCAAAUUCAGUGAUAAAUCCUGGUCACAUGCUAUCCCGAGGCACGUUGGGCAUACGCUAAGAAGAAGCAAAG